rnacentral:rRNA from 1 species
CCUACGGGAGGCAGCAGUGAGGAAUAUUGGGCAAUGGACGAGAGUCUGAACCAGCCAAGUAGCGUGAAGGAUGACUGCCCUAUGGGUUGUAAACUUCUUUUAUAAAGGAAUAAAACGAGGCACGUGUGCCUUUUUGCAUGUACUUUAUGAAUAAGGAUCGGCUAACUCCGUGCCAGCAGCCGCGGUAAUACGGAGGAUCCGAGCGUUAUCCGGAUUUAUUGGGUUUAAAGGGAGCGUAGAUGGGUUGUUAAGUCAGUUGUGAAAGUUUGCGGCUCAACCGUAAAAUUGCAAUUGAUACUGGCAGUCUUGAGUACAGUUGAGGUAAGCGGAAUUCGUGGUGUAGCGGUGAAAUGCUUAGAUAUCACGAAGAACCCCGAUUGCGAAGGCAGCUUACCAAACUGUGACUGACAUUGAUGCUCGAAAGUGUGGGUAUCAAACAGGAUUAGAUACCCUAGUAGUC